GACGAACGCUGGCGGCGUGCUUAACACAUGCAAGUCGAACGGAAAGGCCUCUUUCGGGGGGUCCUCGAGUGGCGAACGGGUGAGUAACACGUGAGUAACCUGCCCUUGACUUUGGGAUAACUUCAGGAAACUGGGGCUAAUACCGGAUAGGAGCUCCUGCUGCAUGGUGGGGGUUGGAAAGUUUCGGCGGUUGGGGAUGGACUCGCGGCUUAUCAGCUUGUUGGUGGGGUAGUGGCUUACCAAGGCUUUGACGGGUAGCCGGCCUGAGAGGGUGACCGGCCAUAGUGGGAGGGAGGACGGGCCCAGACCCCGGCGGGGGGAGGAUGGGGGGAAGUUUGAACAAGGGGGGGAGGCCGUAUCACAAAACGCGGUGGGGGGGAUGACGGCCUUGGGGUUGAAACCCGUUUUCGCUCAGGAGAAAGUUUGGGGUGAGGUGGGGGGAAAGAAAAGCCCCGGCAAACUACGGC
rnacentral:rRNA from 1 species